AUCUUAAAAUAGUGGGACAGGUCCAGGUGCUUGGAGUCACAGCUAAUUGGUCCCAACCAGUUACAGAUUUCUUUGUUCCUUCUCCACUCCCACUGCUUCGCUUGGUUUAU
rnacentral:sRNA from 1 species